rnacentral:pre_miRNA from 1 species
ACAACAUUCGGACCGUCGGCCUACAGCGCAAUAUCACCCGCUCGGUGGAAGAUCUUUCCUUUAGUCGU